rnacentral:rRNA from 1 species
CACGUAGGGCGCGAGCGUUGUCCGGAAUUAUUGGGCGUAAAGAGCUCGUAGGCGGUCAGUCGCGUCUGCUGUGAAAACUCGGGGCUUAACUCCGGGCCUGCAGUGGGUACGGGCUGACUAGAGUGCGGUAGGGGAGACUGGAAUUCCUGGUGUAGCAGUGAAAUGCGUAGAUAUCAGGAGGAAUACCGAUGGCGAAGGCAGGUCUCUGGGCUGACACUGACGCUCAUGCACGAAAGCGUGGGGAGCAAACAGG